UACGUAGGGUGCGAGCGUUGUCCGGAAUUAUUGGGCGUAAAGAGCUCGUAGGCGGUUUGUUGCGUCGGCCGUGAAAACUUGGGGCUUAACUCCGAGCUUGCGGUCGAUACGGGCAGACUUGAGUUCGGCAGGGGAGACUGGAAUUCCUGGUGUAGCGGUGAAAUGCGCAGAUAUCAGGAGGAACACCGGUGGCGAAGGCGGCUCGCUGGGCUCUACCUGACGCUGAGGCGCGAAAGCGUGGGGAGCGAACCGG
rnacentral:rRNA from 1 species